rnacentral:rRNA from 1 species
GACGAACGCUGGCGGCGUGCUUAACACAUGCAAGUCAAGGGGGCCCAGUAGCAAUACUGGGCAACCGGCGAACGGGUGCGUAACACGUGAGCAACCUACCGAAAUGUGGGGGAUAGCCGGCCGUAACGGCCGAGUAAUACCGCAUACGCUCUCGAUGAGGCAUUUCAUUGAGAGGAAACCUACGGGACAUUUCGAGGGGCUCGCGGCCUAUCAGCUAGUUGGCGAGGAACGGCUCACCAAGGCAACGACGGUAGCUGGUCUGAGAGGAUGGCCAGCCACAUUGGGACUGAGAUACGGGCCCAGACUCCUACGGGAGGCAGCAGUGGGGAAUCUGCGCAAUGGCCUAACGGCUGACGCAGCGACGCCGCGU